UUCAUUAUAGCUCACAGAAAAUAGAUAUUUGUUUAAUCUCUAAUGGUGGAAAGAUCAGAUUACAUGUGGUGGAGGGAUCCUUCGGAGAAGAAGUAAUAGAAUUGAAUUGAAGAAAGUAAGUAGUUAAAGCAGUUCUUAAGAGAUUGUCCUGUGUUCCACUAGUAGUCAACUUGGUAGUUAAGGUAAGCCAGUUAGGAAGAGCCAAUUUUCCCAAGAGAUUAUUUUCAUUUCUUGUCUGGAUUUGGGUAUUUACGAUCAUCCCAGAUGAGUUGAUAUCUUCUGAUGUAUUACAAAUUGUUCAAAUUCUUCAGUUAAUGAACCCGGAUUGAAGCUAAUAUAAGAAACACGGUAAUAUAAUGUAAAAUUUAGCUGUGGCUAUGAUAAAAACUAAUUAUAACUAUCCUAAAGUAGAAUGGGGUUUUGUAUAUCUGGGUAGAAGAAGAAGAAGAGAUUUCGAAUCGCAUUUUCAGAGUAGCACAUCAAAGAAGUCUUUUCCAUAACUAUUUCCCAUCCACUGUUAUUCAAGUCGACAUCAGUGCUUCAUUGUCGAUUUCUACAGAAAUCAACCUUGCAGAUACAUAAAAGAGCCAAGAGAGCAGAGGAACCAGGGACGGGGAAGCUCUCAGGGAAAUCAUCAGUCUGGGCAGUCCAACUAAUUCGAUUUCUUGAGAAGGCUUAAAAGUGUCAAAGAUCGGCUUAGAGAGAUGACACUGUGGUUUGAACAAGUCAUGCUUGAAGAUGAUGAUGAACGAGUUGGGGAAAACGUACCAGAAAAUUAACAACAAGAUCAGAUUAUCAACACUGAACUUACUGAUAAGCAUGUUCAAGGUCUUGAAGACACUGCAGUCACUAAGAUACUGAUCUUAUUUGAGGAGAUGAAUUCUUGGUUUCAGACUUGGCAUCUCAUUGACUCAUUUGCAAAAUCCCAGCAACCACAAGAAUUCUGUCUCUCUUAGGCAAG